ensembl:lincRNA Gm28265 predicted gene 28265
GCAUUUUCCUGGCACAUCUUGCUAUCUUUCUUUGUUUCUAAGUCUAUCCUACAGUGUACAGAUGGCAUCAACGGACCCUUCCCCAGAGGAAGGCCUGGUCAGCACCCACCUACCCACCCUUCACACUGUUCUUUCUCAAUUCCCCUCAGAUUGGGACCCUAUUCCUGGGUGUCCCCUUACUUAACAUGUCCCAGUGGGUGGGACUCACUAUAGGCUUAGGAAAGCUGUUCUAAACUGUUUGUGGCUCCAUCAAUCCUAAGAGAAAAAAGAGCAUGAGGGGAAUGCAAAGAGAAAAGGAGAGACAGGCCCCACAUUGGGGGUGAGUGGGGGUGUUGAGGAGACAGAAGCAAAGGGAGCAGAUUAAUUGAAGGGGGAGGGGGAAGCCAAUGACCCUGUGCUUUUCUCUGAAAAGCUUUGGUUUUGGUUUUGGUUUUUCCCAGAGUGCUAGGAUUGCAGGCAUGAGCCAUCACCAACCCUAACCCUAACCCUAACCCUAACCCUAACCCUAACCCUGAUCACACUCCUAUUUGAAUGCCACUCCCUUGGUGCCUACCUCUUUAGGGUUCCUCUCAAAGUCCAGAUUUAGCCAACCACGGCAAACUUAUUCUAGGCAGUUACUCCACUCCCAACUCCAACCCCCUACCCCACAUCCCGAAGCUGUUCUAACCUGGUCUGGGAGAACCCAGUUCCUGGACAAAGCAUCCCCUCCCCCACAGAUGCUCCAGUCUAAGUGGGGCCUAGUGGCCUGCAGGGCCAGAGACACCAUUCGAUCCAAGUAACCCACUGCCCUUCCCCCAAAUUGCUCCAAAUGCAAUUUUUAGUUUUUGCAUUUACAUUUAGCCUGAUUCAUCCAGCCUCAGGUUCCCAGAGGACCCUGACCUAAAAACCUCAAGUGCAGGUACACCCCGGGUACCAGUUAGGUGACCAUUCACACUGCACUUUCGAUGGCCUGCCUGACCCACUACCCCUUAAACCACCUGCCGUCCUGCGCUCUAGUCCGGCUCCAACGUAGCUCUCUGAAGGACUUCUGAUCUUAACUCCCUUUGAAAACCUUCUCAUCUCUUCCUGUAGGGUAUCUCUCCUUUCCCUAGUCUCCUUGGGGUACUGGAGACUGCAGGAAGGUUGUAGGUUAUAGAGCCAGAAGGGGGAGGGAAAGUUGCAUACACCCUAGAAAAAUGGGUCUCUGAGUCAAACUAGAUUAGAAACAAUAGUAAAGGCACUGUGAGUGUUCCAUCUUGCACCUCUCCUAAAUUAAAAUCAGUAGAGGGAUCCCAGAAAAGGCUGGGCCUUAUCCCACCUACAUCCCAGCACUGCCAGAAACUCUCUGGGGGUCCUCUCCCUUUCUGUGGAUCUGUUCCUGGGGAAGUCCAAGGGUCCCUAAGGCCUAUUGGGACGAAAAGGUUUGGGAUUAUUAGGUUCUUUGGAUGUACUUAGUCCAGACCCUGGAGCUAGCAAUACCGCACCACCCCUUACCUAAAACCUCAAACCCCAACUCUGUUUUCCCUCCCCACCAAGCACUUGGGAAAAAAAAAAACUUUUUGAAGUUCCUUCAAGUUGCAUUUGGGGAAAAGAAUCCCCUGCAGACUCUAGGUCUCUUUGCCCCAAUUUUCACUUUUCUUCCCUCGUCUCAGAAGCAUCCCUACUCUUCCCACCCCUGCCAGCUGCCACCCUAGUGCCCAAACUCAAGAAGGAGAAGAUGUCCUAAGCCCAAAACUUAUGGCUGCCCACCCCCAGCCCAGAUCCCUCGAAGGGCUGAAGACGCGCGGGUCAGAGUUCGCCUGCAAAGAAAGCAGGGUGGAGAAAGGGGAAGAGAGAGAGAACCAGAGCCGCAAAUUUCCAGACUGAAGCUUCGCGCUCCAGGCCCCGCUCACCUGCUCUGGACAGGCUCCAAUAGAUUUUCGUCCACUCAAAAGUUUGUCCCCUUCGCAAAGGAUUUCCAGGAGAGGCCCACAUUUGACUCUGGGGGUGGGGGUGAGGAGCCGGGGAGGGCGCAGACGCCUGAUCUAAAGCGACCGGGGGAAGCGGGACGCGUGUGACCGUCCCCAAAGUAAGGGCGAAGCGGCGAUCCACAGAGCAUCCGAGAGCCCCCUUGGUUGCUAGCCCCGGGACGUUCCCGGGAGGUCCCCAGACUACAGAGUGCUAACGCAGGGGUGGAGAACACCGGGCAGCUGAAAGGAAGGAUAGAAAGGAUUCUGUCGACGUCGGUGGUGUCCUCCAAUUUCUGCCCCGGCGGGUGUGCCCCAGCCCACAACAUUCUCUGGACCCCUUCUGGGCAGCGCUCAGGACCCCCACUUGUCGGAAAGGGAGGAUGAGGGUCCC